rnacentral:lncRNA from 1 species
UAAAGGAUUGCUUUUAUCUAGGUCAAUUACUCACAGGGGACCCUGAUCACGAGAAGGAAAUUUGCAGUAGAAUAAAAAUGGGUUCGCGUGCAUACGGCACGUAUUACUAAAACCUGACUGAGAGCUUACCACUGUCGUUGAAAA